AUAGUCUGGUUUCUCUUCAAAACAAAUAAAUCUUUCACUUUUUACUUAAGAUUUCCGUUGGAGAGGGACAGUUAUGAGUUGGUAACCAAAUUUUUUGAGGUCUUGCUUAGGCAAGGCU
rnacentral:snRNA from 1 species